rnacentral:rRNA from 1 species
GACGAACGCUGGCGGCGUGCCUAAUACAUGCAAGUUGAGCGCUGAAGGUUGGUACUUGUACCAACUGGAUGAGCAGCGAACGGGUGAGUAACGCGUGGGGAAUCUGCCUUUGAGCGGGGGACAACAUUUGGAAACGAAUGCUAAUACCGCAUAAAAACUUUAAACACAAGUUUUAAGUUUGAAAGAUGCAAUUGCAUCACUCAAAGAUGAUCCCGCGUUGUAUUAGCUAGUUGGUGAGGUAAAGGCUCACCAAGGCGAUGAUACAUAGCCGACCUGAGAGGGUGAGCGGCCGCAUUGGGACUGAGACACGGCCCAAACUCCUACGGAAGGCAGCAGUAGGGAUUCUUCGGCAAUGGACGAAAGUCUGACCGAGCAACGCCGAGUGAGUGAAGAGGGUUUUCGGAUCGUAAAACUCUGUUGGUAGAGAAGAACGUUGGUGAGAGUGGAAAGCUCAUCAAGUGACGGUAACUACCCAGAAAGGGACGGCUAACUACGUG